UACGUAGGGGGCAAGCGUUGUCCGGAUUUAUUGGGCGUAAAGAGCGUGUAGGCGGCCUGAAAGGUCAGCUGUGAAAACUCGAGGCUCAACCUCGAGACGUCGGUUGAAACCAUCUGGCUAGAGUCCGGAAGAGGAGUGUGGAAUUCCCGGUGUAGCGGUGAAAUGCGCAGAUAUCGGGAAGAACACCCGUGGCGAAGGCGGCACUCUGGGACGGUACUGACGCUGAGACGCGAAAGCGUGGGGGGAGCGAACAGG
rnacentral:rRNA from 1 species